rnacentral:rRNA from 1 species
GAUGAACGCUGGCGGCGUGCCUAAUACAUGCAAGUAGAACGCUGAAGGAGGAGCUUGCUCUUCUGGAUGAGUUGCGAACGGGUGAGUAACGCGUAGGUAACCUGCCUGGUAGCGGGGGAUAACUAUUGGAAACGAUAGCUAAUACCGCAUGACAACAGUUAUUGCAUGAUAACUGUUUAAAAGGGGCAACUGCUCCACUACCAGAUGGACCUGCGUUGUAUUAGCAAGUUGGUGAGGUAACGGCUCACCAAGGCGACGAUACAUAGCCGACCUGAGAGGGUGAUCGGCCACACUGGGACUGAGACACGGCCCAGACUCCUACGGGAGGCAGCAGUAGGGAAUCUUCGGCAAUGGACGGAAGUCUGACCGAGCAACGCCGCGUGAGUGAAGAAGGUUUUCGGAUCGUAAAGCUCUGUUGUAAGAGAAGAACGAGUGUGAGAGUGGAAAGUUCACACUGUGACGGUAUCUUACCAGAAAGGGACGGCUAACUACGUG